UACGAAGGGGGCUAGCGUUGCUCGGAUUGACUGGGCGUAAAGGGCGCGUAGGCGGUUCGUACAGUCAGACGUGAAAUUCCUGGGCUCAACCUGGGGGCUGCGUUUGAUACGUGCGGACUUGAGUGCGGAAGAGGGUCGUGGAAUUCCCAGUGUAGAGGUGAAAUGCGCAGAUAUCAGGAGGAACACCAAGUGCGAAGGCAGCUCUCUAGUACGGUACUGACGCUGAGACGCG
rnacentral:rRNA from 1 species